CGUGCUGGUCAUUCCCUGAAACGGUGAGCUUCAUCCUUCCUUCUUAAACGCUGCGUUGCGAGUUCCCUUUAAAAUCCCUAACUCUUCACUUCACUUUUUACUUCCAUAUU